AUUGAACGCUGGCGGCAGGCCUAACACAUGCAAGUCGAGCGGAUGAAGGGAGCUUGCUCCUGGAUUCAGCGGCGGACGGGUGAGUAAUGCCUAGGAAUCUGCCUGGUAGUGGAGGAUAACGUCCGGAAACGGGCGCUAAUACCGCAUACGUCCUGAGGGAGAAAGUGGGGGAUCUUCGGACCUCACGCUAUCAGAUGAGCCUAGGUCGGAUUAGCUAGUUGGUGGGGUAAAGGCCUACCAAGGCGACGAUCCGUAACUGGUCUGAGAGGAUGAUCAGUCACACUGGAACUGAGCCACGGUCCAGACUCCUACGGGAGGCAGCAGUGGGGAAUAUUGGACAAUGGGCGAAAGCCUGAUCCAGCCAUGCCGCGUGUGUGAAGAAGGUCUUCGGAUUGUAAAGCACUUUAAGUUGGGAGGAAGGGCAGUAAGUUAAUACCUUGCUGUUUUGACGUUACCAACAGAAUAAGCACCGGCUAACUUCGUG
rnacentral:rRNA from 1 species